rnacentral:rRNA from 1 species
UAAGGAAUAUUGGUCAAUGGGGGCAACCCUGAACCAGCCAUGCCGCGUGCAGGAAGACAGCCCUACGGGUCGUAAACUGCUUUUGUACGGGAACAAACCCCUUCUCGUGAGGAGGGCUGAGCGUACCGUAAGAAUAAGGAUCGGCUAACUCCGUGCCAGCAGCCGCGGUAAUACGGAGGAUCCGAGCGUUAUCCGGAUUUAUUGGGUUUAAAGGGAGCGUAGGCGGCCCGUUAAGUCAGGGGUGAAAGACGGUGGCUCAACCAUCGCAGUGCCUUUGAUACUGACGGGCUUGAAUACACCUGAGGUAGGCGGAAUGUGGCAAGUAGCGGUGAAAUGCAUAGAUAUGCCACAGAACACCGAUUGCGAAGGCAGCUUACUAAAGUGUGAUUGACGCUGAGGCUCGAAAGCGUGGGGAUCAAACA